rnacentral:lncRNA from 1 species
AGCCACUGGAACUCACUUACACCUUGGAGCAGCGGAAUGCAUUUUAAUUGAGUUAGUAAGAGCUGGACAGGAGUGAAGACGAAAGGCCCACUCCUGUGCAUGAAAGAAGCAUGCUCCCGGCUUGGUUAGACUUCAGGUGGGACCAGAGAGCUCAGAGUGACUCUGACAGCUGACAGGACGUCUCAUCCAGCCCCUGGCACGCCGCUCGUUCCUUUGUGGUCUCCGCUUCCAGAGACAAGAAUGCCAACCUCCCUCACAUCCCUUGGAGGGACGCGGAUCUGGUUCCUGCCGCU